CCUACGGGGGGCAGCAGUGAGGAAUAUUGGUCAAUGGCCGCAGGGCUGAACCAGCCAAGUCGCGUGAGGGAUGACUGCCCUACGGGUUGUAAACUUCUUUUAUAAAGGAAUAAAGUGAGGCACGUGUGCCUUUUUGUAUGUACUUUAUGAAUAAGGAUCGGCUAACUCCGUGCCAGCAGCCGCGGUAAUACGGAGGAUCCGAUCGUUAUCCGGAUUUAUUGGGUUUAAAGGGAGCGUAGAUGGGUUGUUAAGUCAGUUGUGAAAGUUUGCAGCUCAACCGUAAAAUUGCAAUUGAUACUGGCAGUCUUGAGUACAGUUGAGGUAGGCGGAAUUCGUGGUGUAGCGGUGAAAUGCUUAGAUAUCACGAAGAACUACGAUUGCGAAGGCAGCUUACUAAACUGCCACUGACAUUGAUGCUCGAAAGUGUGGGUAUCAAACAGGAUUAGAUACCCGGGUAGUC
rnacentral:rRNA from 1 species